CGAGUCUUCGGACUUGGGUGGCGCACGGGUGAGUAACGCGUAAAGAACUUGCCUCUUAGACCGGGACAACAUCUGGAAACGGAUGCUAAUACCGGAUAUUAUGGUUUUUUCGCAUGGAGGAAUCAUGAAAGCUAGAUGCGCUAAGAGAGAGCUUUGCGUCCCAUUAGCUGGUUGGUGAGGUAACGGCCCACCAAGGCAAUGAUGGGUAGCCGGCCUGAGAGGGUGAACGGCCACAAGGGGACUGAGACACGGCCCUUACUCCUACGGGAGGCAGCAGUGGGGAAUAUUGGACAAUGGACCGCAAGUCUGAUCCAGCAAUUCUGUGUGCACGAUGACGUUUUUCGGAAUGUAAAGUGCUUUCAGUCGGGAAGAAGUCAGUGACGGUACCGACAGAAGAAGCGACGGCUAAAUACGUGCCAGCAGCCGCGGUAAUACGUAUGUCGCAAGCGUUAUCCGGAUUUAUUGGGCGUAAAGCGCGUCUAGGCGGCAAGGAAAGUCUGAUGUGAAAAUGCGGAGCUCAACUCCGUAUGGCGUUGGAAACUGCCUUACUAGAGUACUGGAGAGGUAGGCGGAACUACAAGUGUAGAGGUGAAAUUCGUAGAUAUUUGUAGGAAUGCCGAUGGGGAAGCCAGCCUACUGGACAGAUACUGACGCUAAAGCGCGAAAGCGUGGGUAGCAAACAGG
rnacentral:rRNA from 1 species